ACUUGGAUACCGUAGUAAUUCUAGAGCUAAUACAUGCAUAAAACCCCGACUUCUGGUAGGGAUUAAAUUUUUUAUUCCCUUCCGGUAACUGGUGAAUCCUUUUAGGUUUUCGAACCGUAUUUUCAAGCGACGGUGGAUCAUUCAGGUUUCUGCCCUAUUUUCUCCCUAUGGUCUUUUAUUGGCCUACCAUGGCUUUAACAGGGUAUUUACAAUUAAGGUUCAAUUCCGGAUAGGUUCCCUGAAAGAUGGCUACAAAAUGGAAAGAAGGCCCCAGGAAGGGAAAUUGGCCAAUCCUGACCCAAGCAGGUACUGACAAGGAAUAGCAAUGAAAAACCUUCGGGGGCUGCUCUUGGAAUGAAUAUUUUUUAAAUCCCUUAUUAAAAACCUAAUGCAGGGCAAAUC
rnacentral:rRNA from 1 species